AGUGAACGCUGGCGGCAGGCCUAACACAUGCAAGUCGAACGGCAGCACAGAGGAGCUUGCUCCUUGGGUGGCGAGUGGCGGACGGGUGAGGAAUACAUCGGAAUCUGCCCAGUCGUGGGGGAUAACAUAGGGAAACUUAUGCUAAUACCGCAUACGACCUACGGGUGAAAGCGGGGGAUCGCGAGACCUCGCGCGAUUGGAUGAGCCGAUGUCCGAUUAGCUAGUUGGCGGGGUAAUGGCCCACCAAGGCGACGAUCGGUAGCUGGUCUGGGAGGAUGAUCAGCCACACUGGAACUGAGACACGGUCCAGACUCCUACGGGAGGCAGCAGUGGGGAAUAUUGGACAAUGGGCGCAAGCCUGAUCCAGCCAUGCCGCGUGGGUGAAGAAGGCC
rnacentral:rRNA from 1 species